GUAUGUGAGGUAGGUUGAGCUAAUCAACGUAGAGUUUUUUUUUUCUUUAUUUCUUUUUCUGCAAAACGUACAACAACAAUCCAGUAUAAUCUCAAUUAGUGGGGUCUGGGGAGGGUAGUAUGUACGCAGACCUUACCCCUGGGGUAGAGAGCUUGUUUCCAAAUAGACCCCCGACAUCCUUUCCUCCAAAAACUUCCCACCUUGCUCUUGGGGAGACUCGAACUCACAAACGUAGUCUUCAAGAAAUAAUUCUCUCAAGCUUUCUGAUCAAAUCACAUUGCUUUGAAGUUGGUUUCCCUUGAUGUCUCAAUAAUUUCUUGAUUGAUCUUCUUUAGUUAAGUAAUUGAUCAUAAAUCUCAAUCUAGUUCAUCAAAUUUAUGGUGAUUCUUCUCCGCAUAUCAGCUUUCCAUUAAUUUUGUUUCUUUUGUUGAAUUUAAAUACUUUUCAAAAUAUAUAUUAUAGUAACUCAGUCAAUUACAACUUUAGUACUACAUCCAACGAACAAACAAUAAUUUUGUUCUCUUGAAGUGUAAUAACUUUAUUUAUUUCUCUUUUAUAGGUGGAUUGGAUCAAGCAAUGGAUGAUGAAGACGAUGAAGACGAAGACCUUACUUGACAUAAUUAUGAAUUGUUAUAUAUGAAUGUUAGGAAUCUUUUGUUACCAACAUUUUUUUGAACUUAUUUAUUCUCUUGGAAUGUACUAAACUUAUGCACUCAUGGGUACUAAACUUAUGCACUCAUGGGGUAGAUUGCUU
rnacentral:lncRNA from 1 species